rnacentral:rRNA from 1 species
GAUGAACGCUGGCGGCGUGCCUAAUACAUGCAAGUCGAGCGAACAGACGAGGAGCUUGCUCCUCUGACGUUAGCGGCGGACGGGUGAGUAACACGUGGAUAACCUACCUAUAAGACUGGGAUAACUUCGGGAAACCGGAGCUAAUACCGGAUAAUAUAUUGAACCGCAUGGUUCAAUAGUGAAAGACGGUUUUGCUGUCACUUAUAGAUGGAUCCGCGCCGCAUUAGCUAGUUGGUAAGGUAACGGCUUACCAAGGCAACGAUGCGUAGCCGACCUGAGAGGGUGAUCGGCAACACUGGAACUGAGACACGGUCCAGACUCCUACGGGAGGCAGCAGUAGGGAAUCUUCCGCAAUGGGCGAAAGCCUGACGGAGCAACGCCGCGUGAGUGAUGAAGGUCUUCGGAUCGUAAAACUCUGUUAUUAGGGAAGAACAAAUGUGUAAGUAACGAUGCACGUCUUGACGGUACCGAAUCAGAAAGCCACGGCUAACUACGU